AGAUGGCUACCUGUCAAUGUACUUUGAAUACCAUAAAUACAGGCUACGUGCAGUUGAUCGCCAAUUCUGGAUGAAAAUAAUUAAACUGGAUAAAGUGCUGUGGGACAGUGUUAUGUCAUAACCUUAGAAAAAUAAUUUUCUUAAUUAAAUCCGAGAAUGCAGAUGAAUUCCAGACGUUCUUUUUAUCAAAUUAUUAUAACAAAUACUAAUCAGCAUGCAGAUCUAUAUUUUUAAUUCUAAUCCAAGAAAAUUAUACUCAAAAGAAGAGGAGUCCAUUACACCAUUGGAUCAAUGGAUAUAUAAUUCAUUUUCUUAUGGUUAACGAUUAGAAGUUUGUAUUGAUUAUGUCAUCUGAACAAGAGUUUUAUUCUAUAAUAUAUGGUAAAUAGAAUGUAGGUGCACUAACAAAGAAUAAUCAAGAGAAGAAUUUGUCAAAAGUGAUUAGUGAUUGCCAAUUCUGGAUGAAAAUAGUUACAAAUGGGAUGUAUUGGUGUGUGGUACAAUAGCAUUACGUCAUAACCAAAGGAAAAUAAUUUUCUUUAUUAAAUCCGAGUAUAUAUAGAUGAAUUCAGGAUGUUGUCAUUAUAUCAAUUUAUUUUAACAAAUAUUAAUUACUACUAAGGUACAUCUAUAUGUAUUUUGUUAUACGAAAUUUUACUAAUUAUUAAAAUAUAUGUGUGGAUUAGUUUGUCUCUUAA